rnacentral:rRNA from 1 species
GAUGAACGCUGGCGGCGUGCCUAAUACAUGCAAGUCGAGCGCAGAAGCUUGGUACUUGUAUCUAUUGUAUUAGCAGCGAACGGGUGAGUAACGCGUGGGGAACCUGCCUUUGAGCGGGGGACAACAUCUGGAAACGAAAGCUAAUACCGCAUAAAAAUUUUAAACACAAGGUUCAAGAUUGAAAGAUGCUAUUGCUUCAACUAAUGAUGAUCUCGCGUUGUAUUUGCUUGUUGGUGAGGUUAAGGCCUACCAAGGCGAAGGUACAAUGCCGACCUGGGAGGGUGGACGGCCACAUUGGGACUGGAAAACGGCCCAAACUCCUUCGGGAAGGAGCAAUAGGGGAUCUUCGGGAAUGGGGGGAAGUCUUACCGGAGAACGCCGGGGGGGGGGAGAAAGGUUUCGGGACGUAAAACUCUGUUGGUAGGGAAGAACGAUAGUGGGAGUGGAAAGCGCAUCAAGUGACGGUAACUACCCAGAAAGGGACGGCUAACUACGUG